rnacentral:rRNA from 1 species
UGCGACUGUUUAUUAAAAACACAGCACUCUGCAAAGUCGAAAGACGACGUAUAGGGUGUGAUGCCUGCCCGGUGCUGGAAGAUUAAUUGAUGGGGUGAGAGCCCUUGAUCGAAGUCCCAGUAAACGGCGGCCGUAACUAUAACGGUCCUAAGGUAGCGAAAUUCCUUGUCGGGUAAGUUCCGACCUGCACGAAUGGCAUAACGAUGGCCACACUGUCUCCUCCCGAGACUCAGUGAAGUUGAAAUGUUUGUGAUGAUGCAAUCUACCCGCGGCUAGACGGAAAGACCCCAUGAACCUUUACUGCAGCUUUGCAUUGAACUGUGAACCGAUUUGUGUAGGAUAGGUGGGAGGCAGAGAAGAGGCCACGCCAGUGGUCUUGGAGCCGACCUUGAAAUACCACCCUGAUUUGUUUGCGGUUCUAACCACGGACAGUGAUCCUGUCUUGGGACCGUGCAUGGUAGGCAGUUUGACUGGGGCGGUCUCCUCCUAAAGGGUAACGGAGGAGUACGAAGGUACGCUAGGUACGGUCGGAAAUCGUGCUGAUAGUGCAAUGGCAAAAGCGUGCUUGACUGCGAGAGCAACAACUCGAGCAGAUGCGAAAGCAGGUCAUAGUGAUCCGGUGGCUCUGAAUGGAAGGGCCAUCGCUCAACGGAUAAAAGGUACUCUGGGGAUAACAGGCUGAUACCGCCCAAGAGUUCAUAUCGACGGCGGUGUUUGGCACCUCGAUGUCGGCUCAUCUCAUCCUGGGGCUGUAGUCGGUCCCAAGGGUAUGGCUGUUCGCCAUUUAAAGAGGUACGUGAGCUGGGUUUAAAACGUCGUGAGACAGUUUGGUCCCUAUCUGCCGUGGGCGUUGGAAGAUUGACGGGGGCUGCUCCUAGUACGAGAGGACCGGAGUGGACGCACCUCUGGUGUACCGGUUGUCACGCCAGUGGCAUUGCCGGGUAGCUAAGUGCGGAAGAGAUAACCGCUGAAAGCAUCUAAGCGGGAAACUUGCCUGAAGAUGAGUCUUCCCGGAGGU